AUGCUCCCAUACGCGACGGCGGGCGAGGCGGAGGCGGCGCUGGGGCGCGCUAUGACUUGGGCGGAGGCGGCGUGUUUCCGGUACUCUGUGGCGACGCCGGACUACUACCUCUACUGCCACCACAUCGUCAUCUUCCUCGUCGUCUACACGCUGGCUCUGCUCCCACUCGCGGUGCUCCAGCUCCGGGCCCCCGCCAUCUUGUUGCCGUACAAGCUGCAGCCAGUGCAUCUCAAGCCGGCAGCCUUCCUCCGCUGCUACGUCCGCACCGUCCGCGUGUUCCUCCUCGCCAUGGGCCCCAUCCAGCUGCUCUCAUACCCUGCCGUUAAGAUGGUGGGGAUAAGGACGGGGCUGCCGCUGCCGUCGGCGGGAGAGACGGCGGCGCAAAUGGCGGUGUAUUUGCUAUUGGAGGACUACCUUGGCUACUGGGUACACCGGCUGCUGCACACCAAGUGGGGAUACGAGAAGAUUCACCAUGUCCACCAUGAGUUCACGGCGCCCGUCGGCUACGUCGGCCUGUAUGCACACUGGUCCGACGUGCUCAUCAUUGGCUUCCCCGCUUUCGUCGGCCCGGCUGUUGUGCCCUGCCACAUGACCACCUUAUGGCUUUGGUUCGUGAUACGCCAGCUAGCGCUCAUAGAUGCUCACGACGGAUUCGACUUCCCACUCAAUCCGGCAAACUUCAUCCCGUUCUAUGGAGGAGCACCACACCAUGACUACCAUCACCGUGUAGGACGGAAGAGCCAGAGCAAUUUCGCUUCUGUUUUCACCUUCUGCGACUAUAUAUACGGGACGGAUAAACACUUCACUGACCAUAAGGCAAGCCUAGCAAAGCUGAAGGAGAUGGCACAAAACAGUACCGAGAAAAGAGAGACGAUGAAUUUUAUCGGCGGGAAGCAGGCAUAG
rnacentral:rRNA from 1 species